ACCGGGAUGGAGCAGUUGGCAGCUCGUCUGGCUCAUAACCAGAAGGUCGAGGGUUCGAGUCCUUCUCCCGGCA
rnacentral:tRNA from 1 species